rnacentral:lncRNA from 1 species
GUCAUUCACAGAGCUUGAUUAACCACAGACUUAAAUUUCAGGAGGAAGUAAGCUAUGAAAAAUCUGUAACCUCUGCCUGUCAUAUGCUUAGUUUGUUAAAGAAAACUAGAGAAGGAGCUUGUUAUUCUUUAAAUAGAAAAGCUCCAAAAAGCCCUAAAAUGUUUUAUCUGAAUAAGUUCUCUCAGUAGGUAUCUUAAGAAUAAUAGAUUAUAGUCAGGGGUUAGGGGCCAGCUCACAAGACUGAUGCAAGUUCUUUAAGUUGUGAUUGUGUCUGAUGAAGAGGAAUGCAUACUUACAUAUUUGUGUAAGGAAGAUUUCCUUAUUGUCAUUUCCUUCCAUCGCUUGGUCCAUAAAAGCAAAGAGGAAGGAAGGGAGGUCUGUGGUCAUACACACUGUCACCCAUGCUAAGAGAAAAGGUAGUUGAGAGCUCUGCCUGCCCACGUGCCCAUCUGCUGGGUCAUCCUUGUCCUAUCAGGAGAGAAAGAGCACUUCCUUUCCUCAGUGGGACUGGGAGGAGGCAGCAGCCUCAGGCAGCUGGAAGGUGUGCCCCUGGGCCUCACACAGCUCUGGGGAGGUGGCACAGGGCUUCCUCUUUCAUAGAGCUAAUUAGGUUCUUAUCUGUGCUACCAGAUGAGCCCAGCUGCCAGCUCCUUACUUCAUCUCAACCAAUCCAACAGGCUAUUCAAACCAACACUGAUAUUAUUCUAGCAAUAUGUUUAUGUAUUUUGGACAAAAGUUUAAAGUAAUUUAGUCCUCCAUCUGUCACCUUCAGGCUAAAGUCCUUUAUUUUCUUGGUGCAUUGACCAUGGGGCUCCAUCUAGGCUCUGAAAGGAUAUUCCCUCAAGGCCCUGAGCUAGAGACCACAGGGUAACUCUACAUGCUGUUCUCCUAAUAAGAUUUUGGUAACAUCUGAUUGUUUGCUAAAAUCCCAUUCAAAGCUCCUUCUACCUGGGCAGAGCCUGCCAAGUUGAGUUCAGCUUCAGUUGGAUGAGUAUGUCAAAGUCCCUGGCCAUUCGAAUAGCCAUUUACCUAAGGCAAGAGCAAAUGCUGGCUAAAGCAUCUAAUCACCAUUUAUUUAUGUUGGUGAUGUUGGGAUUUGAGAGCACAGAGUGGAAGGUAGAAACAGGGUAGUGUCUGUAACUACCGUCAGAUCUACUUCUUCACUUUCAUUUUUAACAUACAAGGUCCUUAAAAAAACCUUGGAUUUUUUUUUUGUUGCGGGGGCGGGGUAGAGAUGAGGUUUCGCUAUAUUGACCAGGCUGGUCUUGAACUCCUGGCCUCAAGUGAUCCUUCUGCCUCAGUCCCCCAAAGAAAACCUAGCAGUUGAAAAAUGAUCAAUUCAUAUAAAGAGAAACUGAAAAAAGACUUUUGCCUUGUCCCCAGCAGGCUGAGGAAUUACCAAGGAGGCAGGAGGUGGAGCAAAACACACCAAGCCUGGUGCCAAUCAUUGACAAUAUUAUGGUUAGUACUUACUGAGGGCUGACUAUGGUUGAAACUGCCUUUGCAAAAUUAUGACUGAGACGGUGAAAGAGAUCUAACUUAACCAACGCUAGCUAUCUUGCCUCUAACCUCCAAGCUGUCCUUGUUCAUUCCUGGGCAUAGGCUGAACUAACUUUGGGAGAAAUUUAGUUUAUAGUUUGAAACAAAGAUGAUAACAGCCCUUUGCCAAAGCAGACCUCCUUCUUGUCUGGGGACUAGAUGGCCUUUGUAGGACUAACAUGAGCCACAAGAUUAGAAAUUAUGGAUAGGAGUCAUGCAGCUGGAGUCUCCAAGAUUCUGACCCUCCCUAAACUGCUCCCAAGAUCAAUGCUUGAGAUAUUUUGCAGACCCUGCAUGUGAUGGAUCAGCUGACACCAUCCAGAUCGGUAAACUGGUUCAUCUGAUCUUGUGCCCUCCACCCAGGAACUGACUCAGCGCAAGAAGACAGCUUCGACUCCUUGUGAUUUCAUCCCUAACCAAUCAGCACUCCUGGCUCACUGGCUUCCCCCAACCCACCAAAUUGUCCUUAAAAACUCUGCUCUCCAAACGCUGGGGGAGACUGAUUUGAGUAAUAAUAAAACCCUGGUCUCCUGC